UACGGAGGAUCCAAGCGUUAUCCGGAAUCAUUGGGUUUAAAGGGUCCGUAGGCGGUUUAAUAAGUCAGGGGGGAAAGCCCAUCGCUCAACGGUGGAACGGCCAUUGAUACUGUUAAACUUGAAUUAUUAGGAAGUAACUAGAAUAUGUAGUGUAGCGGUGAAAUGCUUAGAGAUUACAUGGAAUACCAAUUGCGAAGGCAGGUUACUACUAAUGGAUUGACGCUGAUGGACGAAAGCGUGGGUAGCGAACAGG
rnacentral:rRNA from 1 species